UUGGUCCCACUCCUUGACUGCUCUACACUUGUCUAAUUUCAGCAUCCACAUUGUUUCAAAUUUCUUUGAAAUACUAUGAUAUGGGACCAUGAUUAACAUAUUUUAGGCAAUUUGUGAGUUUAAUUGAGCUAGUUAGAAAAUACAAAACUAGAAACUAAUACUUUUGUAUCUGCUCAUAUGUACGUAGAUAACACACAUUUCUGGAGGCUAAAUUAAUUCAUAAUGAAAAAUUGCUCUUUGGUAUGAAAAAUUCAAGCUUGAAAUGAGACCUAAGUGAAUUGGAGAUUAGGUAAACAUCUGCAUGCUCACCAUUUUCUAUUAACUUUUUUCUUUCAUUCCCAGUAGUAGACAGUAUUCUGUACUGCAUUUGUGUUCUUGCUGUUUAAAAAAACUCUUACAAAAGCCAAAAUACCACAUGAAGGAGCAAAACGCCUUUAAGGAUGGCUGAUUCCAACACAGCCAGUGCAAGCAGUAAGGCAUACUGUGAUCCAGGCAGCAAAUAAAUGUAUGCAUUUAUCAAUGGCCAUUAUUUGCAGAAGGCAAGGAGUGACACUUUUAUUUUGAAGGCAUGGGAUACUUUUUAUGGGGAAUUUUACACAGUAUUGAAUGGAUAAUUAACAAAGGAAAGCAUCCAUCAAAAUUACUUCAGAACUGCAAGCAGUUGGUGAUUUGAAUUGGCAAAAUACUUGCUUAGGGAAAAGAUACUAAUUACCUUACGAAAAAUAUAAUGAAUUAUAAUGAAAAAAACCUCCCACAAUGAAGAAUAAUUAUAACCACAUUAGAAAUUAGUACAAAGUUUUAAACUGUGCUUUUAUGUUUUGUAUAAAUCAUUUGCUUUUACGCAGAUAAAGAUUGAAAAGCCGCUACCAGCCUUACAAGAACUCCUUCACUCCGUUCAGCUCAUCCAUGAAGGAUGACCCUUUGUGUUUGGGUGAUCCAUCAUUCAUUGGCCAUUGAGAGUUAAAAGAAAGUGCGUGUUACUUCUGCCUCUUCUCAGGCACCUACAGAUCUGAGAUCAAAGCAUUUCCAAAUUGGGAUUUUUCAGCCUCAGGGUAACAGAAAAGAGACUCAUCAGUGCUGUGGAUAUAAGAUUUGCAACCAAUACUGCCAUCGUCUAUCUGGAGCACAGGAAAUUGGCAAACACCUUUCCUACAAUAAAUCCCCAAUAUGGCACAUAUGGUGGAGGUGGUGGCACAGUUCACCUGCGCACACAGAGCCAGGACACCUUGGGAAUAAUGGAACCAUGUCCGAUAAUGAAGACAAGCCAAUUCAUCUCAUACUCCCUUGCAAAUCCCAGCCCUGGGUUAAUCACUCAGAUGAUUAGGAGCUGGAAGCAGACUGGUGGAAGAUUUUAAUUCUGUUUGUUGAGAAUUGUAAACAUAAUUGAUUUACAUUUCUCUUCAAUAAGUUAAUUUGAGAGAGCAUUCCCAUCGAGAAUAAUAUCAGAUUCAAGGCUAUAUGGCUUACAAACUUCAGUGACUCCACUGGAGAAAAUACAGAUCACUCCUUGCUGCAAAAGGAUGAAAAGGAGAGAGACUAAUGACUGAUAAAUGUUGGCUUCCUGUAAACAGAAAAUUACCAAAUCUGACAACUACUAUACGUAAGUAUGGUAGCACAAGAAGCAACAUGCUCCCUAUUAUCACUGAUAAGUUAAUGGAUCAGUGCUGAAAUUCAAAUAAAUAAUUUAAAAAUAAAUUCUUUGGGGGGAAAAAAAAAAGUCCUCAGCUUGAUUUAGAAUAGUUUUGUUUUUAUAAAAAACUUGAUUUCCCUCAAAUACUAUGGUUAGCUGAAGGUUUGGUGUACUUUACCACCAUAAAAUGUAGUUUGAUUAAAGAUGAUGAUCCCUGCAGAAGGAGAUCCCUUUAGAUUAAACCCUCUGCUUUUGGUUGGUGGGGUCAGGGAGAGGGUGGGAAGGAGCUGAGGGCUGAAAUGCAGCAGACUCAGAUUCAGACUCCUGCUGGUGCAGCAUAGCUAAAGUGUUACUGGCCUGUCUGAACUCUGUCUCUCCUCUCCUCUCCUCUCCUCUCCU